GACGAACGCUGGCGGCGUGCUUAACACAUGCAAGUCGAACGGAAAGGCCCUGCUUUUGUGGGGUGCUCGAGUGGCGAACGGGUGAGUAACACGUGAGUAACCUGCCCUUGACUUUGGGAUAACUUCAGGAAACUGGGGCUAAUACCGGAUAGGAGCUCCUGCUGCAUGGUGGGGGUUGGAAAGUUUCGGCGGUUGGGGAUGGACUCGCGGCUUAUCAGCUUGUUGGUGGGGUAGUGGCUUACCAAGGCUUUGACGGGUAGCCGGCCUGAGAGGGUGACCGGCAACAGGGGGAUGGAGCGAGGGAGGGGAGGAAGACGGGAGGCAGAAGGGGGGGAGAGGGGAGAGGGGGGGGGAGUUGGAAGCAGCAAUGCAGGGGGAGGGAGGAUGGGCGGAGGGUGGGAAAAAGAGUGCGACGGAGACGAAGGGGGAGGGACGGGAAUUGGUAAAGAAGAAAGCGCGAAAUAGGAG
rnacentral:rRNA from 1 species